CGGCGGGGUUCCGGGAGCCGGGGGGACCGGCGGGGGUUCAGGGGCCGGGGUGACCGGCGGAGGUUCAGGGGCCGGGGUGACCGGCGGAGGUUCAGGGGCCGGGGUGACCGGCGGAGGUUCAGGGGCCGGGGUGACCGGCGGGGUGUCAGGAGCCGGGGUGACCGGCGGGGUGUCAGGAGCCGGGGUGACCGGCGGGGUGUCAGGAGCCGGGGUGACCGGCGGGGUGUCAGGAACCGGGGAGGCCGGCGAAGGUUCAGGGGCCGGGGUGACCGGCGGGGUGUCAGGAGCCGGGGUGACCGGCGGGGUGUCAGGAGCCGGGGUGACCGGCGGGGUGUCAGGAGCCGGGGUGACCGGCGGAGUGUCAGGAGCCGGGGGGACCGGCGGAGGUUCAGGGGCCGGGGUGACCGGCGGAGGUUCAGGGGCCGGGGUGACCGGCGGAGGUUCAGGGGCCGGGGUGACCGGCGGAGGACCGGCAGCCAGGGGAGGACCGGCGGCCGGGGGAGCCGGCGAAGGUCUAUGACUUGGCUGAGGAACAGGGGCCGGCUGAGGGCCAGGGGCCGGCUGAGGGCCAGGGGCCGGCUGAGG
ensembl:lncRNA